GUGCCAGCCGCCGCGGUAAUACGGAGGGUGCGAGCGUUGUCCGGAAUCAUUGGGCGUAAAGGGCGCGUAGGUGGCCCGGUCAGUCCGUGGUGAAAGCGCGGGGCUCAACCCCGCGUCGGCCAUGGAUACUGCUGGGCUGGAGCACUGUAGAGGCAGGCGGAAUUCCGGGUGUAGCGGUGGAAUGCGUAGAGAUCCGGAAGAACACCGGUGGCGAAGGCGGCCUGCUGGGCAGUUGCUGACACUGAGGCGCGACAGCGUGGGGAGCAAACAGGAUUAGAUACCCGGGUAGUCC
rnacentral:rRNA from 1 species